GAUUGAACGCUGGCGGCAGGCUUAACACAUGCAAGUCGAACGGUAACAGGGAUUAGCUUGCUAAUUUGCUGACGAGUGGCGGACGGGUGAGUAAUGCUUGGGAAUCUGGCUUAUGGAGGGGGAUAACUACGGGAAACUGUAGCUAAUACCGCGUAAAAUCUUCGGAUUAAAGGGUGGGACUUUCGGGCCACCUGCCAUAAGAUGAGCCCAAGUGGGAUUAGGUAGUUGGUUAGGUAAAGGCUGACCAAGCCGACGAUCUCUAGCUGGUCUGAGAGGAUGACCAGCCACACUGGAACUGAGACACGGUCCAGACUCCUACGGGAGGCAGCAGUGGGGAAUAUUGCACAAUGGGGGGAACCCUGAUGCAGCCAUGCCGCGUGAAUGAAGAAGGCCUUCGGGUUGUAAAGUUCUUUCGGUGACGAGGAAGGUUGAUAGGUUAAUAGCCUAUCAAAUUGACGUUAAUCACAGAAGAAGCACCGGCUAACUCCGUGCCAGCAGCCGCGGUAAUACGGGGGGUGCGAGCGUUAAUCGGAAUAACUGGGCGUAAAGGGCACGCAGGCGGUGACUUAAGUGAGAUGUGAAAGCCCCGAGCUUAACUUGGGAAUUGCAUUUCAUACUGGGUCGCUAGAGUACUUUAGGGAGGGGUAGAAUUCCACGUGUAGCGGUGAAAUGCGUAGAGAUGUGGAGGAAUACCGAAGGCGAAGGCAGCCCCUUGGGAAUGUACUGACGCUCAUGUGCGAAAGCGUGGGGAGCAAACAGGAUUAGAUACCCUGGUAGUCCACGCUGUAAACGAUGUCGAUUUGGGGAUUGGGCUUUGAGCUUGGUGCCCGUAGCUAACGUGAUAA
rnacentral:rRNA from 1 species